GCAAAGUGCAAACCGUAGAGCUGGAAGGGUUCAUGGACAACUGAAUCAACCCACCGAAAAAUAAAACUCUCAAACAAAACUCUGUCCACAGAAACCACUCAUCCAUUACUCUGACUCCGGUUCUGGCUGAGCUGUUCGGAUCAUUCCAAAACAUUACAUCAUCACACAGAGAGGGAACAUCGCUACUACGGCCAAAGCGGCUGCCAAGGCGUCUGCACAGGACUGUACACUGCCUCCUUUGUGAUGUCCACAAUGCGAAUCCAUGGUGACCACUAGGUAGAGAGGAUGUUCAAUAAGGGAACCAACGCUUCGUGUCUUCCACCACAGCACGUGAUUACAUUUUGGGAGUCUCUUCUAGACUGUUCCUCCCUCCUGGUCGUCCUGCCACAGAGCUGGUAUUCUGGGCUCUAGUGUGCCCUCCUGGCCUCGCCACAGCAGGCAGCCUUUCAUUACAGCUGCCGGAGGAGGUGCCCUGGAGAUCCCCAUCGAAGACACCAUCACCACACCCCGAACACCAGUGCCUCUCGCUGCUCUGAACACAGACAACAGCAAAACAUGAGCAUCAUUACUCAAGGGUGUUUUCCUGGGAUGAGCUCCGACAUCCCUGAGACAGGAACAAGUGGUUUGGGAACAGGACGGAUGGAUGUCAUGUGUGGAAACACAGCGCCCCCUGCUGAACACAAAAAGCUGUGACUGUGUCCCAAAGCUGGAAAAAGCUGCCUUCAAAGGAUUACAU